rnacentral:rRNA from 1 species
CCUACGGGGGGCAGCAGUAGGGAAUCUUCCACAAUGGGCGAAAGCCUGAUGGAGCAACGCCGCGUGGGUGAAGAAGGUCUUCGGAUCGUAAAACCCUGUUUUUAGAGAAGAAAGUGCGUGAGAGUAACUGUUCACGUUUCGACGGUAUCUAACCAGCAAGCCACGGCUAACUACGUGCCAGCAGCCGCGGUAAUACGUAGGUGGCAAGCGUUAUCCGGAUUUUUUGGGCGUAAAGGGAACGCAGGCGUUCUUUUAAGUCUGAUGUGAAAGCCUUCGGCUUAACCGGAGUAGUGCAUUGGAAACUGGGAGACUUGAGUGCAGAAGAGGAGAGUGGAACGCCAUGUGUAGCGGUGAAAGGCGUAGAUAUAUGGAAGAACACCAGUGGCGAAAGCGGCUCUCUGGUCUGUAACUGACGCUGAGGUUCGAAAGCGUGGGUAGCAAACAGGAUUAGAUACCCGAGUAGUC